GCUGUGGUGGCUCAGUGGUUAAGGCCUUGAGUUGCAGGUUAAAAGGUCUUGUGUUCAAAGCCCAGCAUCAACA